UACAGAGGUCUCAAGCGUUGUUCGGAUUCAUUGGGCGUAAAGGGUGCGUAGGUGGCGCCGUAAGUCAGGUGUGAAAUCUCGGGGCUCAACCCCGAAACUGCACUUGAUACUGCGGUGCUCGAGUACUGGAGAGGAGAUUGGAAUUUACGGUGUAGCAGUGAAAUGCGUAGAUAUCGUAAGGAAGACCAGUGGCGAAGGCGGGUCUCUGGACAGUUCCUGACACUGAGGCACGAAGGCCAGGGGAGCAAACGGG
rnacentral:rRNA from 1 species